rnacentral:rRNA from 1 species
UGAGCAAACUGCCCUUCUCAUCGGAAUAAGCGUUGGAAACGACGUCUAAUGCCGAAUACGACCUCCUUUCGCAUGAUCGGAGGUGGAAAGCUCCGGCGGAGAAGGAUGAGCUCGCGGCCUAUCAGCUAGUUG